GAUGAACGCUAGCGGGAGGCUUAACACAUGCAAGUCGAGGGGCAGCAUAGGGUAGCAAUACUCUGAUGGCGACCGGCGCACGGGUGAGUAACGCGUAUGCAACCUACCCUUUACCGGGGGAUAGCUCGGAGAAAUCCGGAUUAAUACCCCAUGACAUUCCGGGGGCGCAUGUUUCCGGGAUUAAAACUACGGUGGUAAAGGAUGGGCAUGCGUAACAUUAGCUAGUUGGUGAGGUAACGGCUCACCAAGGCUACGAUGUUUAGGGGACCUGAGAGGGUGAUCCCCCACACUGGUACUGAGACACGGACCAGACUCCUACGGGAGGCAGCAGUGAGGAAUAUUGGUCAAUGGGCCAAGCCUGAACCAGCCAUCCCGCGUGCAGGAAGAAGGCGCUAUGCGUUGUAAACUGCUUUUGCAGGGGAAGAAAAUACCGGUCGUGACCGGGACUGACAGUACCCUGUGAAUAAGCAUCGGCUAACUCCGUGCCAGCAGCCGACGGUAAAAGUACUA
rnacentral:rRNA from 1 species